AUUGAACGCUGGCGGUAUGCUUUACACAUGCAAGUCGAACGGGCUUGGGGGCUUGCUCCCGGGUUAGUGGCGAACGGGUGAGUAAUAUAUCGGAACAUGUCCGGAAGUGGGGGAUAACGUAGCGAAAGUUACGCUAAUACCGCAUAUGCCCUGAGGGGGAAAGGAGGGGAUCGCAAGACCUUUCGCUUUCGGAGUGGCCGAUAUCGGAUUAGCUAGUAGGUGAGGUAAAGGCUCACCUAGGCGACGAUCCGUAGCUGGUCUGAGAGGACGACCAGCCACACUGGAACUGAGACACGGUCCAGACUCCUACGGGAGGCAGCAGUGGGGAAUUUUGGACAAUGGGCGAAAGCCUGAUCCAGCCAUACCGCGUGAGUGAAGAAGGCCUUCGGGUUGUAAAGCUCUUUCAGCCGGAAAGAAAUUGCCUCUAUUAAUACUAGAGGUAGAUGACGGUACCGGAAGAAGAAGCACCGGCUAACUACGUGCCAGCAGCCGCCGUAAAAC
rnacentral:rRNA from 1 species